AAGCUCGUAGUUGAAUUUCGGGAUCAAUACGUCGGUCGUGCCUUCGGUACGCACUGGGGUCGUUGAUUCCUCCCUUCUGAUGAACCAUGAUGUCAUUAAUUUGGUGUCAUGGGGAAUCAGGACUGUUACUUUGAAAAAAUUAGAGUGUUUAAAGCAGGCACACGCUUGAAUACAUUAGCAUGGAAUAAUGAAAUAGGACGUUUGACCCUAUUUUGUUGGUUUCUAGGAUCGACGUAAUGAUUAAUAAGUUGGG
rnacentral:rRNA from 1 species